AAAGUUUUUCUAUAGUACACAUAAAGAGUUUUGAAAACAGAUUUCAAAAGAAACACUGCCACCUUUAUCCUAUUAUGUUCAUGCAGUCUGUACUUUGAGAAGAUUCUCACCUUCCUUUGGGUGAAUAAGUGUUGACAAUGUCAAAAUCGUUACAAAAGUGAGCCCUUAAUGAGCUUCAAGUUGAUUUUUUUUUUUUUUCAGGACCGAGAUGACAUUUGCAGAACCUACAGCAUAGUGAAGAUAGAAUGACUUCUGGCCCUCUCUCUGAGGUACUUUUCAAGGUGUAAUGAACAGAAAGCAGCUCUGCAAAGGGAGCAGCAAUAGCUGCUUGAUCCAACAAUGUUUUCUACAAGAACAUCCAUCCCAGGAACACAGCAGAACUGACAACAUAUCAUCUCUAUGACUGCUAAUCCAGCUUCUGGCUUAAACUGGGCUGCUGUCAUCAGCACACAUGGGGCUGGUACAUAGAAGAAUUUUCUGGAGUAUUCAACCAAAGCUGGUCUGCAAUCCAGCAGGUUUGGGACAGGCAGCACACCCAGCGUGGACUCCUGCAGUGAUUCCCUGCAGGUAACAGAGCCUCCUGAGGCUGCUGUACCAGAGGGAACUUGUCAUAUUUGUUGGCAGCCCAGGCAUUGAUGGAGCACAAUGCUGACAGUCACCUUCCUCAUCUCUGGUCUCAUUGAGUCAUGUGGAACAAGGUAUCGUCAACACAACAUAAAUGACAAAGUAUCAUGCAGUAUCAACCAGCAGCAGCCAGAAAGGUGAGUGGUGAGUCAAAAUCUCUUUUUACUACUACAGAUUCACUGCUGCUUCGGUCCCCUUAAUUUUUUUCCUCAAUUUCUGAAGCCUGUGAUCCAGAGGAGUUUUAGUUCUUUUGUUUGCUGUGGAGGACCUAAGUGCUGAGGAAUUAGCUCUGAGGCAAUACCUGAACAUGAGUUCUACUUCCCACAGUACACCUAGAAUAGACAAGGUGGGUGCCAUCAUUUGCUGCUGGCAUAGAAUAAAUUACUCCUUUCUAUAAGCUCA
rnacentral:lncRNA from 1 species